rnacentral:rRNA from 1 species
AUUGAACGCUGGCGGCAGGCCUAACACAUGCAAGUCGAACGAGUGGCGGACGGGUGAGUAAUGUCUGGGAAACUGCCUGAUGGAGGGGGAUAACUACUGGAACCGGUAGCUAAUACCGCAUACCAUCGGAUGUGCCCAGAUUGGAUUAGCUAGUAGGUGGGGUAAAGGCUCACCUGGGCGACGAUCCCUAGCUGGUCUGAGAGGAGGACCAGCAACACUGGAAUGGAGAAACGGUCCAUAUUCCUACGGGAGGCAGCAGUGGGGAAUAUUGCACAAUGGGCGAAAGCCUGAUGCAGCCAUGCCGCGUGUAUGAAGAAGGCCUUCGGGUUGUAAAGUACUUUCAGCGGGGAGGCGUUACCCGCAGAAGAAGCACCGGCUAACUCCGUGCCAGCAGCCGCGGUAAUUC